UUUAGCUUCUUUCACUUCAUUCAACAGAAAAUUGUAUCUAUCACUUAAUAAAUAAAAGUUAUCCUUAUUAGUUACUAAUUCACUCAAAAGAUCGUAAAACUUUUUCCGCACAAUAUCGCUCAUUUUUAUGAAGACAAAAUAUAUUAGCACAAAACAAAUUGAUUCUAGGUUGUAACCGCUCACAUCCGUCUAUACCGCACUAAAUUAGGCUAGGAUCACAGAACGUAUAUCUAGAAAAGAGUCUUACGGAGCGAAAUGAAAUAGCGUUAGCUUUGAUGAACAACCACUCGUGAUGCUAAAAUCGCUGAGAUUGCCAGAUCUAUCAAUGAUUUGAAUUUUGAAAGAGUUAUUCAUACGAUUCAUUUUUGAAAAUUAUAUAAUACUGCAAUUUUCCAAGUUUACUUGAUAAAAGCAAGGUUUAAAUCAGAAAUGUAGUUCUCUCAAUAUUUUUAUUUUACAUUUAGAUAAUUCUAAUCGUAUUGUUUAUGACGUAUGUGAGUAUUCUGUGGCUAGAACAGCGAUUAGAUACGCGAACAGCUAAAAGUGUCACGAGCAUGUUGGGACCUAUAGACUAGAUUCAUCUCUUAUUUCGAACUUUUACCAAUUGGUGUUAAUAAAUGCCGGCAUUUAUUAACACCAAUGGCAUUUACCGAAAUGGUUUGGUACAAGCCCGAAAUGGAAGUGUUUAUAAGCAUUUUUCGGGCUUUUAUCACCUCAGUAUGGUAAAUGCUAGGAUUUACCAAUUUUCGGAAUUUUACAGUACCAUAUAUAUACAUAGACUUGCCAUAUGUCAGGCAUUGGUCUGGACAGCCUGGAUUUCAGUAGUUAUCUAGGGCUUAAAAUACUCUGGAUUUCAAAUUUUCUUCACUCAAAUAUUUAUCAACAUUUUAUUUGUUUAGAUCAGUCAACUCUUUGAACUCAAUAUAGAUUAGUUGCAACAUAGUGUUAGCCUAGGGCUUCAGGCCCAAAUAUUACACAUAUGCAAUAUACUUUAUUUUAUUAGUUUUAAAAUUUCUGCUUUUUACUAAUAUUUUUUGACACAUUCAAAAUUGUUACAAAAGCACAAUGGCAGGAAGUUUUUAAAUUAAUCACACAGUAGACAAGCUCUUAGAGGAGUGCUUUCGAUUUUU
rnacentral:lncRNA from 1 species